AUGGUGGGGAUUCGGUCUGAAGGUGGAAGCUGUUGGAACCGAGGAUCGACGGACGGUCAGACAAGAACACAAGACACGAUGGUUUACCGGGCGACGAACGCCCGCCGGGCGACAGACGCCCCCAGCGACGAACGCUGGCCUUUCUCUGUAUUUCUCCAACUCGGCUCGGCUUACAACAGGCAGCAGUACGGAGAAAUUUGGCAACAAAUAAAUUUGAGGAAAGAAUACGAACACCAUUCUCGUCGUUGCACACCUGGACUCUCACGGAUAUCUGGGAAUGAGCGCUUCCUAUUCAAAAUUUACUUGCAGAAUCAACUGAUUGAAGGUCCAUAUGUUGAACUUCUUUUUAAGAAUCUGCUAAUGACGGUGUGUAGAACUGCGGUUUCCUUGCAAGGAUUGCUCGCUGUCACUCUUUUGGCAAUCUUGCUGAAGAUUGGUUGGCCAGUGUGCCGUUAUUUUAUUUGUGCAGCUGUAAGGCUUGGGACUGAGGCAGGAGCAUUCCCCCAAGGGAAAUCAAGUUUUAUUGGGAGGUGGUAUGUUGUGGAUGUCACCAUAUCGUGUAUUUUCCUUCGUUCAGGUUACAUUUCAUUUCAGGUUCUAGAAUCUUAUCCAAAAGGCAGUGCUGUCUUUGUGGAUUUUGUUAAGCUUUGUCUUACGACACUUCAUGGCAGUGUUCACUGUCAAAUCCUGUAG
rnacentral:rRNA from 1 species